AAUGAAAAAUUCAUUUCAUUUGUAAUAGCAAUUUGCAUUUUGCUAAACUAACAACAUAUUUAUGGUUUGCUAAACAAAAUCACAUUUACGGCUUGCAAAACUAUGACACGAUCGAUGACCACAACCGUGCCAACCACAGUGGUCUUACAUGUUAACUAUGGCCAUGGCGGAAAUUCGCCAAAGGUGACCCCUACAAUCAUUUUGAAUCACCACUUGCGUCAAAGGGUAUGCUAUCAUCCACAAGGAGUGGUUUUCUCAUGUAUUUUCAGACAUGAUGAGGAAGAAACAGAAACUCCUUAGAGAUAAAAAGUAUAAUGAAACAUUUUAUGCAUUAUGCAUGCUAAUAUCAAUGCAUGUUUCUCAUGUCUACACAUAAUUUCAUGCUUAAUCAUUUUUCUACCGUUUAAUUGCAUCACAUAUCAAUAUUUGUUACAUCUAAAUUACACAUGCAAAUUAACAAGUUCAUACACGAUCAAAGAUAUGCGUUAACACUUGAAAUUACUUAGUUUAGGCAUAAAACUUAACCAUGAAAUCACUAAUUUAAAUUUAUUAUUUACUCUAGAAAUGCUCCUUAGGAUGUUCAAAAGUAAAUACUAAAUUUCUUACCGAAACUUCGAUAUUUUUUGUGCCUUUUCUUCUUUUUCUCCUCUCCCUCUCUCUUGACAGCUCCCUCUCUCUCUAAAACUCUUAGAGGAUAGAAGAAUUGAAAUGGAAGUGAUGGGAAAAUGGUGAAGGGAGGGUCACUAUUUAUAGAAAAUGGGGACUGUUGGAUUUAUGCCAAGUGGCAAAAUUUGAUGAGGAGAGAGAAAGUCAAUGGGUAAUGUGUGAUGUGGUGACUGACGAAUGUGACCAACGAAUGGACAAUGCGACAUGACGGUGGUGCAAAACUUAGAGGUAUGCCACCC
rnacentral:lncRNA from 1 species